rnacentral:lncRNA from 1 species
UGUUCUAGAAAAACGAUUAGUUAAAAAAUAAGUAUAUAACAAUAUUAGGAUGUCCUUCAUUUUUGUGUAGGAGAAAAGCAUUGCUGUACUGAGUGGUACAGAUUUACUUAGUGGACAAAGCAGGACGUAGGGUCAGAUUUUGUUCUUCGCCAUUUCUUGGACACAGGACUGUACUAGAGGGUUAGAAAGUUGUAACAGUUACCUACUUCUCCUAUUCUCCCUCCUUUUCUGAAAGUUUCUUAAACUGAUGUAAAAAUUCCCCCCACAAAAAUGUCUUGCUGAGUCAGCAAAAGAGCCUGUCAUUGUGGUUGCUUUGGUUUUAAAUUACCUACCCUGAAAAGGCAAUUAGGUUCAUGUUCUGCAAGACAGCAGACCACCAAGAGGCAUGAGGAGCCUCCUCUGCAAAAGCACUUUGACAGUAGGACCAGCAUGUUGGAAACAAAGAAGAAAUUCAGGGCAGUGCUCUGAAGCAGCUAAAUGCAGGGAUCAAAGUCCUCUCAGCAGUGAGAAGGUUAUGUAGAACAAAAGACUGCACUGGGUGUAAAGAGGUCAGAGAAGCCUUGCCCUGCCUAGCCCGCCCAACACGAAAACUGCUAGGGAGAGUGCAGACUAAGAACCACAGAAUGACUUGGGUAGCUUAGUGUCCUCUGCCUCUCCUUAAGAGAUCUCCCCUGGGGUGCAAGCACUUUUUCCCAGGUUCCACGAAGGCAGUCUCAGCUGCUGAAAGGAGGUGUCUCUUGUCCAUGGCAAACAUAAAAGAUAAGGCUGGUAGGAUGAAUUGGACUUCAAGCCACUUGUGCUCAUAGGGAAAGUACAGCUUUGCAGUCCUUCAGUCUGAGCUGACGGCUCCUUACCUAAAGGUUAAAAUAUCCUUUGUUUUAUAACUUAUUGGGACCAAGUGGAAGGUUUCAGGUAAUUUUUGUGCAUACAUGGUAGUUAUCUUAAUUUGGUAAAUCAGUUGUGCAAACCUUAUGCAGCUGGAGGUUUUCCCCUCCCCCAAAGGUAUUUCUUUGUCAUAUCUAAAAUGUAAGCAUUGUGGGUUUAGGCCUUUCCUUGCAUUUUUUCCCCCAAAAGAGGCCAAUGCUAGUGUUUUUCAAAGAUUUUUAUAGCAGAAUUUUUCCCCAUUUCAGGGCAGAAUCUGUAACUGCCCAAUAUAACAAGCAAAUAAAAGGCCUUUUUUUUUAAAUGUGACGUAUUAGAGUAUUAUAAAUUAGGAGGCAUCUCCAGUCUCAUUGGCUUGUAACAGCAAAGACUUACUUCUUACCCUUGGCCUGCUAGGACUUGGCAAGGAAAGUAGCUACAUACUGGGUUUCCAUGACCUGAAGAAGGGAUAAGACUACCGUCUCACAGCCCCUGUUAAAUGUUCAAGCCUAUAAUGACUUUUGCCACUUCUGAACUGGGAACAUGAGCCAUCUAAUCCCAGGGCCAGUGGAAUGGUUGAGCAUAGUUGUACUUCAUAGAUUGCUUCUGGUCAACAUCUAUGCUAAAUAGGGUAUGCCUCCCAUGAGAUUACAGUUCCCUUCUGUUUAAGAACUCUCUUGAAAUUUGUCUUGCAUUCCUGGAGUUGAGGUGCAUUCUCUGAAGCACUCUUUGACCGGGAUUCUAAACCUUUUGUUACCCUUGCAUAAAGCAGUAAACUUGCCUACCACCUCACUUAAGAACCCAUGUGUCUCACUGAGUUAGUAAGGAAAAAUCUGUCCCUUUAUUCAAGGUUUUGGGUCUUCCAGGGUUAAUGGGUAGAAUGGAAGCUAGGUAAUAAAGGAAAUCUGUCAAUGCACAAUAGAUUCACAAAGCAAAUGGAUUCCUUUCAUUAGAUCCCCAAACUCAACCCCAUUUGUAAUGUUAAACUCCUGUGAACUUUAUUGAUGUGCUUAUGGUUCUUUAUUAUGUUAAUUUAUUAAUUAGUUUCCUUAGGGGAAUGUGUGUGGUCAUGUGUAUGGAGGUCAGAGGACAACUUGGGGUAGUCUUCUCCUUCACCAUGUGGGUUCUGGGGACCAGAUUCAGGCUUGGUGACAAGUACCUUUACUCUCGAAGGCGUCUCGCCAGCCCAGAAAGAUAUUUCUUAACACGGCAAGUUCUGAAUGUGGAGACAUGGCUGUUGUCUCUUUACACAAAGAAACAAAACAGUCCACUGUCACCUUAAUCCUCGGCUGUUUGGGAGAGUCACAUUUAGUUUGAUGUGAAUAGGAAGUGAAAGGCUACAUGGCAAUGAAGCAGGAAACAUUGUUAGGGCACACAAAGGAAAUAACAUUAAUUGGACUAUACAUGUAUCUUUAAAGCCCAGUCAACUAAAAUAAAAGGGAAAUGAAAGAAGGGAACUCUAUAGACAGCUGGUACAUAAAUGGCUAAUGGCUUAACAACUUAAAGAGGGUGUGUGAAUACAACUACCACCAUGUAGGGCCUUAUAGUCUUAAGUACAAAGUGUGAAUUUGUAGUCUUUAAAAACAAUAAAUGUGAAAACAGUCUACUUCCUUAGUAACUGAGAUUUUAAAAAAUGCGUUAAAAAUCCAAUGCAAAUAAAGUAUAAUUUUAUACCUACUUAUAGAAACGAUCUAUUUAAAAUAAUUCAUAGGUCAAGGAGAGAAGGCAAAAGAAAAUCAGAAGAUAUGUCAGUUGAGUUAUAAAAGUACCACAGAUUGAAAUUACAGCAGAAUUUCGGAGACAAAUUUUUAAUGUUGAGUACGUGUUUU